rnacentral:rRNA from 1 species
UAACACGUAAGCAACCUGCCUAUCAGAGGGGAACAACAGUUAGAAAUGACUGCUAAUACCGCAUAUGCCUUGAGUUAUGCAUGUAACAAAAGGGAAAGGAGCAAUCCGCUGAUAGAUGGGCUUGCGUCUGAUUAGAUAGUUGGUGGGGUAAUGGCCUACCAAGUCGACGAUCAGUAGCCGGACUGAGAGGUUGAACGGCCACAUUGGGACUGAGAUACGGCCCAGACUCCUACGGAAGGCAGCAG